rnacentral:lncRNA from 1 species
CCCGUGUACAAAUAAUGAAAGCAUCCAAUUCAAAACGCGAGGUUUUUGUGUAGUGUGUAUAACCAACUACGGCUGCAGAAUAUACAGAGUCUCUGGUGUUGAUGGAAAGGAUUGUUUACCUAGAGGCAGCUUGGUAUGACAUGUUGCAAAGCAUUCUGUUUGAUUAACAGAUAAUAGAUACUGCAGACACUAAGCAAAUUAUACUUACCUAGCAGUUGCAGUAUUCCAGCCAUGGAGUCAUAAUCUUAGAAUAAAGGUCUCGGUGUUUAGGUGAAUCUGAGGAAAGUCCAAAAUAUUGCAACUGUUCCAGUUGUUAAAAUUGUAAGCAAAGACGUAUGCUGGCUUUAACACAUCAACAAGACAACAAAACACUCAUUUCAUAUGCUGGCUCCAGUGAUGUUAAUUCAGCUGCAGAUACUUCUGUUCUCAAAUAUGUAUCGACAGUACCUGUGUCAGAUGUACUGGCAAACAUGUUAUAUCUUCAUUUUUGUCGAGCCCGCUUGCGGAAGCAAAGAUAGAUGUCCAAAUGGCUGUUCUGUGUAUGUGCGUGUGUGCGUCCGUCCGUCCGUCAGGAUUUGUUUGUCCGGACCAUAACUUUGAUAUGCG